rnacentral:rRNA from 1 species
AAUUUAAUAAACUUUUUUUUUAUUUAUACAUUUAUUUAUGAAUAAUUGAUCCUAUUUUUUAGAUUAUAAGAUAAAAUUACCUUAGGGAUAACAGCGUUAUUUUUUUUAAGAKUUCAAAUCGAAAAAAAAGAUUGCGACCUCGAUGUUGGAUUAAAAUGAAUUUUUGGUGUAGAA